rnacentral:tRNA from 1 species
GUUUAUAUAAUUUAAAUAAAAUAUUGGUCUUGUAAACCAAAAAUAUGAAUAUUCUUUAUAAACU